ensembl:lncRNA
CCUGCCCUUUCACAAACAUUUUCCAGUGACGGCUUCUCAGAUAGUUCUGUGUUAACAAACCAUCUUGCUCGUUACGGUUGAGAAAUCCACUAUAAAGCAGUUUCUGACCGUUGCGCAACAGAUUUACGGUAUGAAAUGCUGCAUCUUACACAGACGUGUCAGGGCUUGCUCUUGUUCUAACUUGCCUCCUCCUUCCUUCCCCAGCUUGUCUGGCAAACACCCCUACUGUAAUUUAGUCCUUAGGAACGAUUCCCUCACCUUCUUUCAAAGACCCAGGACCUUUAGCACACACAAACUCCAUACUCCACAGCUUGCAUUUUAAGACACCACGCCCUGGAUUCAUUGCUUGUCCCAGUGUUUCCUCCUCCCUCCUCUACGAUGACCACCUCUUUACCUCCUCCCGAAUCUCGAGGCGUUGACUACAGCCUGCUGACCUGUGGAGAGACUAAGUGCAGUGGCCAUGGUGCCUGUAAGGUUCCUCUGGGUGGCAGCGUCGGUUUUGUGUGCGACUGUGACCUGGGCUACCGGGGCCAAUUCUGCGAGAACACAGUCAACGGGGCCUUAAGUGUAACGCUGACCCUGAGUGUGCUGGCCCUCCUCAUCGGGGGGCUGAUCGUGGCUUUUAUCCUCGCCAAGAUGAAGCAGAAGCAUAAAAAGAGGAAGAGGGAAAAACUGGCAGAAGAAGGUGGCUGCAAUCCCAGCACAAAAAUGGUCAGACAGUGAUGCUGUGUCCCUGGCCAAAAAUGGUCUGGGUCGGAUGUUAAAACCUGCAACGAGGUUAUGCGGUGGACAGCCAUAUGGUGACUUUGUUUCCACAUCCAAUAAUGAUCCAGAGAUUGAGUGAUGACUCGGUGAGUACUCGAGUCCUGGACCCAGACUUGGCUUAGACACGCGCACUUAUGACUUGGACUCGAGGAGUUAUGAAAUUGGACUCGGAAGUUGGAUGAAGUUUUUGACUACUUUCUUGUGUAAUAGGCAGUGAUGGAGUACUGGAGUCUGACUCGAGUUGCAGUUCUCUGGUUUGUGACUUGACUCAAAGACAGGUAAUGAUGACUUGACUCGGACUCGACAGUUGGUGACUCGACUACAACACUGGGUCCAGUCAGACCCUCUCUUGCAAACCAGGAACUACAUGCUGUGGGAACUGCAUACUGCUGGUAUGUGGUUAAAAAAGGAAAGGCAGUGACUGUUAAACUUUGGCCGCCUAAGGAAAUUCCGGGUAUCCCCUCAAAUACUGUUGGAUUUCUACUCCUGAGUCAUAGAGAGCGUCCUGAUGGGGAACAUUACUGCCUGGUACGGAAACAGCACCGAACAUGACUGCAAGUUCCUGCAGUGAGAGGUUAGAUCAGCUGAACCCUACCAUGCUUAAAGGAUAUUUACACCAGGCUCUGCAAGAAAAAGGCUAGGAGAAUCAUUAAAGAUCCAAACCAUCUGGUUAACAGCCUUUUCUCACUGUUGAUGUUAAGAAGAAGGCACCAGAUACACCAGCCCAACACUGAGAGGCUCAGGAGGAGCUACUACCCCCAGGCCAUUAGGAUCCUACAUGAGGACACUGCUGACAGUCCCAAAUUAAAGGAGCUGAUGGGAUUACAUCACUGAAAUUGUACCUUGUUAGAUUUAAUGUGCCAAAUAAAAAUUGAAUGAUUGAUGUAUGAC